rnacentral:rRNA from 1 species
AUUGAACGCUGGCGGAAUGCUUUACACAUGCAAGUCGAACGGCAGCACGGGGGCAGCCCUGGUGGCGAGUGGCGAACGGGUGAGUAAUACAUCGGAACGUGCCCGGUCGCGGGGGAUAACGUAGCGAAAGUUACGCUAAUACCGCAUACGAACUGAGGUCGAAAGCGGGGGACCUCCGGGCCUCGCGGGUAGGGGGUGGCCGAUGAUACUAUAGGGAGUUGGAGGGGUAAAGGCUUUCCAAGCAGGCGAUCUGUAACUGGUCUGAGAGGACGACCAACCACACUGGGACUGAGACACGGCCCAGACUCCUGCGGGAGGCAGCAGUGGGGAAUUUUAGACAAUGGGCGCAAGCCUGAUCCAGCCAUUCCGCGUGCAGGACGAAGGCGUUCGGGUUGUAGACUGCUUUUGUACGGAGCGAAAAGACUCUGGCUAAUACCUGGGGCUCAUGACGGUACCGUAAGAAUAAGCACCGGCUAACUACGUG